AGGGAAGGAGGAAGGGAAAAGAAAGGA
rnacentral:piRNA from 1 species